ACGAUAUUUUGCAUACCUCUCUUAACUCGGGAGACGACGAAUUAUUAUAUAUAUCUUCCGAUCGUUGAGAGUCAUUUAAUAGUCUACCAAAUGCCAACAUAAACUUUUGAGGAUCAUCGCUGUCCUUAUGCUGAUGAAACAAUUUUAACACUUGCAGUACUCUCAUCGCAUCUGAGUACACAUGCACGGUCCUUUGAUAGAUUUUCAUGCGUUCAUAUUUUACUGGAAUUUUUGUUAAAAAAACUUUAGUAAACUCUUCCACAGACAACCCUAAUUCCUUAGCCAGCUCUUCAGUCUUAAAACCCACUUUUUGCUCUUCAGAAAACAUUAUUUCUGUGAGCCUUAACAUUUCCUGCAUGCGUUGAACGCCCAUGUCAAUGUCGCUUCCAUCCCAAUGCGGCUGUUUUAGGUGCUUCUCGUAGUAUUCGUCCAUGAAUCCUCUCAAUGUACCAGUGUGUAAAUUUGACUCCUUUGGCAAUUCUAAGUUAAAUUUUUUUGCCAAAAAUUCUGAAGCAACUGCCAUUUCCACCACUCGUAGAUUGUAAUUUGUUAAUGCGGUUUCUUGCUUAUUUGCUUCCACAAGUGUGUUAGAGAUUAGAAAUACCAUGUCAUGAGGUUUGAGUACCGGCAUCUUAAACGGUGUUGCCAUAAGCUUUGGUUUAAAUUGAACCAAAAGCGCCUUGUUUUGCUCUCCAUAGAUAGAAGCACAUUGAUCCAUACCGCCCGUGUUGACACCUACAUAAUGCUCGGAAACAACACUAAUCUUGACGAGGUCUUCUUUGGUAAUUGUAUUAAUUCCAUUGGCUUUCAAAAUGGCUAAAAUCGAUGCCACACAGAAGGCCGCCGAAGAUGAUAGUCCUCCACCAGUGGGAACGUUACCAUCAAAAAUCAACUUUAAUCCUUUUAAAGGCUUCUUACCCCCACUGACUAAUUCUGGGUAUUUCUCUAAAAUAUAUUUAUGAGCAACAAUCAUAGAGCAUCGAAAGUAGUUUCCCCAGGUGUGGUGGGUUUUGUUAAUUUCAAUCACUGCCCCGUCACUCGGUAAUUCCAAUAUUUCCUCCUUGAAUUCUGGAUUCGUGUUAUUCAACUCAACUUUGGCAUCAUCACUUGUGGUAACUGAAACAAUAACAUCAACGUCAAUUGCCA